GGAAUCCUUUCCGCUCCUUAAAGAAAAGCCUCAGGAUCUAUUCAUUGUCCUGGUGUUCUGGAGCUCCGAAGGCCUCAGGGGAUUUCCACCUCUUCCUGCAAAUCCUCUCAGACUGAUUGGCAAGCAUAGCUCAUACCAAUUAGCUUCUUGCUUAGCCUCAGGACAGGUGUUUGGGGAAUCAAGGGUUCAUAGGUACUAUGUUUCAUUUUAUUUUUGAUCCUUGAUUUUUCCUCUCUUUCUCUCUCUUUUGACAAGGUUUUGGGACACAGAGUGAAGUCUGCUCAGAUCCAUCUGUCUCCUUACUAUUUCAACCAAUAUACUCCCUCCUACAAAAAGUAUGUCUUCAGAAAGUGCACUCAGGUUGGAAAAGUGUGGAAAGAGCAGAUGAACUUACUGUCAGUGGCCAUAUGAUCCCUCACUGUUCAUUGUCUUCAUCACUAAGUAAGACCCACCAGGCAAAUCUUUUUGUGUAUUAAGGAAGGAAAUCGGAAGUUCCUGAGGAGAGAUGUCAACAUAGCGAGCUCUGAGGAUGCAGGAU
rnacentral:lncRNA from 1 species